rnacentral:rRNA from 1 species
AUUUUUUCCGCCCCGCCGGUAUACUACUAUCAUUAGCGGAGGAAAAGAAACCAACAGGGAUUGCCCUAGUAACGGCGAGUGAAGCGGCAACAGCUCAAAUUUGAAAUCUGGCCCUCGGGUCCGAGUUGUAAUUUGUAGAGGAUGCUUUUGGCGCGGUGCCUUCCGAGUUCCCUGGAACGGGACGCCUUAGAGGGUGAGAGCCCCGUACGGUUGGACACCAAGCCUCUGUAAAGCUCCUUCGACGAGUCGAGUAGUUUGGGAAUGCUGCUCUAAAUGGGAGGUAAAUUUCUUCUAAAGCUAAAUAUUGGCCAGAGACCGAUAGCGCACAAGUAGAGUGAUCGAAAGAUGAAAAGCACUUUGAAAAGAGGGUUAAAUAGCACGUGAAAUUGUUGAAAGGGAAGCGUUUGCGACCAGACCUUUUCCUGGCGGAUCAUCCGGUGUUCUCACCGGUGCACUUCGCCAGGUUGAGGCCAGCAUCGGUUUCCGCAGGGGGAUAAAAGCUCUGGGAAUGUAGCUCCCUCGGGAGUGUUAUAGCCCUCCGCAUAAUACCCUUGCGGGGACCGAGGACCGCGCUUCGGCAAGGAUGCUGGCAUAAUGGUCGUCAACGACCCGUCUUGAAACACGGACCAAGGAGUCGAACAUUUGUGCGAGUGUUUGGGUGUUAAACCCUCACGCGUAAUGAAAGUGAACGGAGGUGAGAGCCCUUACGGGUGCAUCAUCGACCGAUCCUGAUGUCUUCGGAUGGAUUUGAGUAAGAGCAUAACUGUUCGGACCCGAAAGAUGGUGAACUAUGCGUGGAUAGGGUGAAGCCAGAGGAAACUCUGGUGGAGGCUCGCAGCGGUUCUGACGUGCAAAUCGAUCGUCAAAUCUGCGCAUGGGGGCGAAAGACUAUCGAACCAUCUACGGG